rnacentral:lncRNA from 1 species
UUCUUUUUUGGACCCCGAAACUUCUUGAUUAACAUUCCCAUCUCUGCUCGACAGAAACCCUUCCUCCAGUAUCGCACUACUGGGGAAUACCUUUGAUUCAAAUUCAUGAUGCUAGACUCCUCGGAGUAACACCUUCCUCUUCGGGCACAACCACCUCUCAAACGAUAACCACGGCUUGAGACUAGCUUUAUGCUAGCAAUAAUGAUGCAUGAUUGAUUUUUCUGCGUAAUGCUCCAUAAUUAUGGAAAUGCUACGCGAUUUACUUUUUUUUU